CAGGAAGACAGAUACCCGGAACAAAGAACAGUUCCGCGCCAAGGAAGAACAAAAAUCAGAGAAAAUUACCCAAAUUCAGAAACUGAACCCUAAAAUCAAUGGCUGAAAAAUUAGCCCCUGAGAAACGUCACAGCUUCGUUCAUAAUGGCCAGAAGGUGUUCGAAUGGGACCAAACGCUUGAAGAAUUGAACAUUUACAUAACUCUUCCAGAAAAUGUUCCGAAGAAGCUAUUUUAUUGCAAGGUUGAGUCUAAGCAUUUGGAAGUUGGGAUCAAAGGCAAUCCACCUUACCUUAAUCAUGAUCUGAUGAACCCAGUGAAGACCGAUUGUUCCUUCUGGACUCUAGAGGAUGAUAUACUGCAUGUAACCUUACAGAAGAGGGAUAAAGGUCAGACAUGGUCUUCUCCUAUAUUGGGCCAAGGACAGUUGGAUCCAUAUGCCAGUGAUCUUGAACAGAAAAGGCUCAUGCUUCAAAGGUUCCAAGAAGAGAAUCCCGGUUUUGAUUUCUCACAGGCACAAUUCUCUGGGAAUUGUCCUGAUCCAAAGACCUUCAUGGGGGGAAUUAGCUCAACUUGAUACUGCUCUAUUAUCAUUGUAACUAUGGACCUAGCUAGAUAUGCAUUGUUAUGAUGAGAAGCAGGAAGAUAAGCUUUCCACUGGAAUUCCUUAAUGUUUUAUGAAAUAUUUAUUCUUGGUAACCAUCUUGUUUACUGGUAAGGUUUAUUAAUCACUUUGUUGUUGAUUAAAUAUGAUUGCUUAUACAGAUAACGUUUCGUUCUUAUAGGUUAUAAAAAUUGUCAUGAG
rnacentral:misc_RNA from 1 species